ACGGAAGGCAGCAGCUAAGAAUAUUCCGCAAUGGACGAAAGUCUGACGGAGCAACGCCGCGUGGAUGAUGAAGGCCGGAAGGUUGUAAAAUCCUUUUAUAACUGAGGAAUAAGUACGGUGAGAGAAACGCCGUAUGGUGACUGUAGGUUAUGAAUAAGCAACGGCUAAUUACGUGCCAGCAGCCGCGGUAACACGUAAGUUGCGAGCGUUGUUCGGAAUUAUUGGGCGUAAAGGGCAUGUAGGCGGUUUUGCAAGCUUGGUGUGAAAUCCCGGAGCUUAACUCCGGAAUUGCGUUGAGGACUGCAUAACUAGAGUCACUGAGGGGCAAUCAGAAUUCCAGGUGUAGGGGUGAAAUCUGUAGAUAUCUGGAAGAAUACCAAUGGCGAAGGCAGGUUUCUAGCAUAUGACUGACGCUGAGGUGCGAAGGUGCGGGGAGCAAACAGGAUUAGAUACCCUGGUA
rnacentral:rRNA from 1 species